rnacentral:rRNA from 1 species
CAUUUUGUCGAAAGGGUUAUUCUUUAUAGCUUGCUAUGGGGACAAUUAGUGGCAGACGGGUGAGUAAUGCAUAGGAAUCUACCUAGUAGUAUAGGAUAGCCACUAGAAGUGGUGGGUAAUACUGUAUAAUCCCUGCGGGGGAAAGAUUUAUCGCUACAUGAUGAGCCUAUGUUAGAUUAGCUAGUUGGUGGGGUAAUGGCCUACCAAGGCAGUGAUCUAUAGCUGGUCUGAGAGGAUGAUCAGCCACACUGGAACUGAGACACGGUCCAGACUCCUACGGGAGGCAGCAGUGGGGAAUAUUGGACAAUGGGCGCAAGCCUGAUCCAGCUAUGCCGCGUGAGUGAGGAAGGCCUUAGGGUUGUAAAACUCUUUCAGUAGGGAAGAUAAUGACGGUUACCUAUAAAA